AGGGAAAGAGAGGGAGUGAAGAGGUGAGUGUGGGAGAGAGAGAGAGAGAGAGAGUGAGUAGGGAGGGGGCAGAAGGAAAGACAGGCAGACAGCAAGGGCAAAGAGCCAGGGACAGGAAUACAGGGACAAAAGAACGAGUCUACAUUUAGCAUAAUAAUAAUAAUUAUACAGGGAUUAAGUAGCUGGUGAGAGGUACACACGUAAAUAAAAUAAGAGCUGAGACAACAGGGAAUGUAUUUACAUAACUAAAAUAAUAUGUACUAAAAUAAUAGCUCUGUAUAUGCUACAAGUGUCAGUGCAAAAUAAUACAAUAAAGAAAGCGAAAGAAGAAUACAAUAGGGUAAGGCAAAAUUUACAGGGAUUUGCAGAAAUGCGUAAUGCAAAGUAUACAUGAGCACAGAACAUUAGCUAGACUGGAUUAGGGAUAAAUAUACAUCCAAAAGGCUAUAAGGAAACCAUACUGCACCAACAGACUGAAUAUCAAGAGGAACUGCACCAUACAAUCAUUUGGGAACUAGCAUCACUUUGUUUGGAUACUUGGAUUCCAUUUGACUACCCUGCAAAACCGUGAUUUAAGAGCAUGUCUACAGCAGUGUCCUCUACGACGAUGGACAGAGAAGGGGGGCGCACAGGCUGGGCCUUCAAGAACCCACUGACAGGUGUACGCUGGAAGCGACUGGAGGAGCCAUUAGGAUUUAUUAAACUGCUGGAAUGGCUCUUUGCUAUCUUUGCCUUCGGAACUUGUGGUUCAUACAGUGGAGAAACAGCAGCAGUCGUGAUGUGUGCAGUUUCGGACACACAGACAGACACAGAUCUUAUCUCUGUAGCCUUUUCUUACCCGUUCAGGUAACACCUAGACCUUUCAUCUACAUUUUAACUA